rnacentral:rRNA from 1 species
AUUGAACGCUGGCGGCAGGCCUAACACAUGCAAGUCGAACGAGUGGCGGACGGGUGCGUAAUGUCUGGGAAACUGCCCGAUGGAGGGGGCUAACUACUGGAAACGGUAGCUAAUACCGCAUACCAUCGGAUGUGCCCAGAUGGGAUUAGCUAGUAGGUGGGGUAAAGGUUCACCUAGACGACGAUCCCUAGCUGGUCUUCGAGGCUGACCAGCCACACUGGAAAUGCGACACGGUCCAGCCGCCUACGGGAGGCAGCAGUGGGGAAUAUUGGGCAAUGGGCGCAAGCCUGAUGCAGCCAUGCCGCGUGGAUGAAGAAGGCCUUCGGGUUGUAAAGUACUUUCAGUGAGGAGGCGUUACUCGCAGAAGAAGCACCGGCUAACUCCGUGCCAGCAGCCGCGGUAAUUG